rnacentral:lncRNA from 1 species
CCUUACGAUAGUAUUACGCACAAAUAGUAGCGUAUAUAUGUAUAUACACCUACAUGUNNNNNNNNNNNNNNNNNNNNNNNNNNNNNNNNNNNNNNNNNNNNNNNNNNNNNNNNNNNNNNNNNNNNNNNNNNNNNNNNNNNNNNNNNNNNNNNNNNNNAACAUUUUUAUAUUAUUUACGUUUCCUCUUUUGCCAAAUAUCAUUUGGUGCAUUACGUAUAGUGAAUAUGUACCUAUAAAAUCAAAAGAUAAUAACGAGUAUAACAAUAAACUACAUUUAAUUAAUCACAACAAUGGUACAAAUCCAACGAAUAAAAACUCAGAAUAUGUUACUACUACUACUACUACUUCUGCUGUUGCUGCUAGCAGUAAUACCGAUACUAAUGUCGAAGACAACCUUUAUUUGUCAUUCCUUAAUUGGUUAAAUGGUUUAUUAAAUAACAAAGACUAUUUAAAAUACAUUUCAAAAAAUGUUGAUAAAAAUGCAAGUGAGACAAAAAAUGAAUUGAUUAAUGACAGCACUAAAAUUGUAGAAAAAAUUAAAUCAAUAUCAAGUGUCAAAGAUGAUAAUAAUUUUUUUUCUAAUUUGUUUAAACACAGUGCAAGUGAAGACUUAUAUGUCAUUGACAAGCAUAGCAAAGAACAAAUGAAAAAACUGAAAGAUAACUCAAAUAUUGAGUUUUUUUUUUCAAAGCUUUUUAACGAUUUUAUUAAUAAAAAAAAGGAUGAAAAAGAUGUGAUAAAAAAUAAUUUAACAGAAAAAGAAAAAAAAGUAAAAGAAAGUAAACAUAUGAAUAAUAAUAAUAAUAAUAAUAAUAAUGAUGAAAAAAAUAAAGUAGCCAGUUUUUUAAAUUUAUUUUUAAAAUAUAUUAAUAUGGCAAACGACGAUAACGGGCAUAAAGAUGCAAAUGUUGAAAAAGAAGCUAAUAAAGAAACGGCAAUCGAAAAUGUUUUUUCUUAUUUUCGUAAUUUACGAGGAUCUAAUCAACAAACAAACAAGUUAUCUAACGAAGUAGAUGUUGCAACCGAUUCAACAGUGGAUUCUAUAUUUAGGAAAUUAUUUUUUAAUCAAAAAAGAGAUGCAACAGAAAGCAAGACAGCAGGUGGUACACCAAGCAACAUAACGCAAGACGCAACAAACAAAAUCGAUUUCAUAUUCAAUCUGUUUCCAAAAAAAGAAGAAACAACAAACGAAGGUAAUAAUAGUAACACAAAAGAAGACAAUUCAGUAAACGAAAAUAACAAUAUCAUAAAAAAAAAAUACUUCUGGAACUAUUACGCAUCAGAUAAAGUAAACGAUGAAAAGAGUAAACUAAAUGAAAAAGACGAAAAGGAAAUAAAAACAAAUGAUGCUGACAGUAUACCUGGUAAUAAUAAGUCCAUACCCGUGAUGGAUAGCAUAAAUAGUGACGAUCAAUAUAAACAGCAUUUUAAUUUUUUUAAAACUUUAUGGACUGACAAAAAAACAGAACCUAAGCAUAAAACUGAUGAUAUAAAAAGCGACAAAAAUAGUGUUGAAAGUAUGAAUAAUGCAUUUAGGGGUGGUGAAUACAAUAGUAGUAUUAACGUUGGUAGUAGCAAUGUUAAAGAUAAUAGCAGCUUGAAUGUCGAAACAAAUAAUGAAAGUGUUAGAACAAAUGGUACAUAUUUUAUUAACAAAGAAAAUACUAAUGAUAUGAACAUAUCAUCUUUUACAUCUGAGCCCCAAAACAAUUUUUUUAGUUUUAUCAAAAAAUUUUACUCUAAUGGUAGCAAAUUAAAUAAUAAUAAUGAUAAUAAUAAUAAUAAUAAUAAAACAUUAUCCGAAUUUUUGAAUUCCAAACAUGAGUAUACAGAAGAAAUAGAUUGUGAUCCAGGUGUUGCAUUUAAAGAAUGUAUAAACGAGUGUUCAAAAAGUUUGAAACAAAGUAAAACAAAUAGUAGUAAUAAUAAUACAAAUGAAGGUAGUAAAGAUAAUCAUAAAGCAAUGACAUUUAAUGAUUAUAAAUACCUUGAAAAUUGCAUUAAAAAAUGUAAAAAUGCACAUUUAACUAAUUUUAGUGGUUUAUGUUUAGAUGAAAAUGGAAAUGUUUCAAACAAAAAAAAAAAAAUUGUUAAAUAUUUAAAUAGUGCAGAUAAAAUUAAUACAAACAUUUUUAAUAAUUUUUUAAAUGUUAAUAAUGAUAAAACUAAAAAAGAGUUUCCUGAUAAUUAUGAUAAACAAAAUGAUGAAACAGUUAAAUCGGAACAAUACAUAGAUAUGCACCAAAUUGGGCAAACAACAAACAACAUUAAUAUUGAAAAGGAUAUACAUAGUAAAGAUUUAAGUGCUAGUAUUUUUAACAUACAAUUUAAUAAGAUGAAUAAUAAUGGAAUCGAAAAAAAACCUAUCAAAAAAGCUUCCGAGAAUGAAACUCUAAGUGACAGUUUUUUUAAUUAUCUAACAAACUUUACCAAAUAUGACGACCGAGUUGACAUUUUCUCAAAUAAAAGAAACGAUAGUAAUGCCAACAAAUUUAAUUCGAAAAACUUUGAAAAUGAUAUUAAUCCCAUUGUAACUGCUUUAACAAACAAUGUAACUGAUAAUGGUGGUGGUGAUGAUGAUGAUGAUGAUGAUAAAAACCUUGAUGUUAAUCCAACUGAAUAUAGUACUACUGUUUCUAUUUUUUUCUUGUUUUUAAUAAUGAUAACAAUUUUUGUGUAUAUGUCAGUAAUAACUGAUAUAACCGGUGUGCUUAUUGAAAAAAUUAAAGGGACUAUACGUUGUUUGAUUAAAGAGUUUGGUGCAUUUAAUUUUAACAAUUUGAAACAAGACUAUAAAGAUAACUUAUAUCCAUUACAACAAGAAUAUCCCACUUCUAGUGAAUUUUCUUCACAUUAUGACAACACUAAUAACCCUUACCAUAGUCCAUAUAAUAUAAAUACCACUACUGUUUCAGAUAAUGUGUAUCAUAUACUUAAUGAAGAUACAUCGG